rnacentral:rRNA from 1 species
AGAUUGAACGCUGGCGGCAUGCUUUACACAUGCAAGUCGAACGGUAACGCGGGGGCAACCCUGGCGACGAGUGGCGAACGGGUGAGUAAUACAUCGGAACGUGCCCAGUAGUGGGGGAUAGCUCGGCGAAAGCCGGAUUAAUACCGCAUACGACCUACGGGUGAAAGCGGGGGAUCGCAAGACCUCGCGCUAUUGGAGCGGCCGAUGGCAGAUUAGCUUGUUGGUGAGGUAAAGCUCACCAAGGCGACGAUCUGUAGCUGGUCUGAGAGGACGACCAGCCACACUGGGACUGAGACACGGCCCAGACUCCUACGGGAGGCAGCAGUGGGGAAUUUUUGGACAAUGGGCGCAAGCCUGAUCCAGCAAUGCCGCGUGUGUGAUGAACGGCCGUUCGGUUGUAAAGCUACGUUUAGUGGAACG